rnacentral:tRNA from 4 species
GACCCCGUAGCUCAGCUGGUAGAGCACCUGACUUUUAAUCAGGGGGUCGCAGGUUCGAAUCCUGCCGGGGUCA